rnacentral:lncRNA from 1 species
CAAGCCAGUGGGCUGUCUCUCCUGGAUGCCAAAUUAGGGAAGCACUCCCUGAUUAGUAUCCACGUGACCUGUGUUUCUCAGGCUGUACAAGCAUGGCAUCGCCAGCUGCUCGGCUUCCGGGGGUCCUCAGGGAGCUUCCACUCAGGCAGAAGGGGAAGCAGGAGCAGGCACAUUACCCGGCGAGAAGAGGAACAGGAAAGAGUGCGGGGCGGUGCCACACGCCUCUAAACAAUCAGAUCUUGGAGAACUCACUAUGGCAGGACAGCACCAAGCCACGAGGGAUCUGUCCCCAGGACCCAGACACCUCCCGCCAGGC